UACGUAGGUGGCAAGCGUUGUCCGGAUUUACUGGGCGUAAAGGGCGUGCAGGCGGUCUGUUAAGUGCAGGGUGAAAGCUCCCGGCUCGACUGGGAGAGGUCCUUGCAUACUGGCGGACUUGAGGGGGGUAGAGGAAAGUGGAAUUCCCGGUGUAGUGGUGAUAUGCGUAGAUAUCAGGAGGAACACCGGUGGCGAAGGCGGUUCUCUGGGCAUGUCCUGACGCUGAGGAGCGAAAGUGUGGGGAGCGAACAGG
rnacentral:rRNA from 1 species